rnacentral:rRNA from 1 species
CCGACGGUGAGGGGUGAAGGCCAGGGGAGCAAACCGGAUUAGAUACCCGGGUAGUCCUGGCUGUAAAGGAUGCGGGCUAGGUGUCGGGUGAGCUUCGGGCUCGCCCGGUGCCGUAGGGAGGCCGUUAAGCCCGCCGCCUGGGGAGUACGGCCGCAAGGCUGAAACUUAAAGGAAUUGGCGGGGGAGCACUACAAGGGGUGGAGCGUGCGGUUUAAUUGGAUUCAACGCCGGGAACCUCACCGGGGGCGACGGCAGGAUGAAGGCCAGGCUGAAGGUCUUGCCGGACACGCCGAGAGGAGGUGCAUGGCCGCCGUCAGCUCGUACCGUGAGGCGUCCACUUAAGUGUGGUAACGAGCGAGACCCGCGCCCCCAGUUGCCAGCCCUUCCCGCUGGGAAGGGGGCACUCUGGGGGGACUACCGGCGAUAAGCCGGAGGAAGGAGCGGGCGACGGUAGGUCAGUAUGCCCCGAAACCCCCGGGCUACACGCGCGCUACAAUGGGCGGGACAAUGGGAUCCGACCCCGAAAGGGGAAGGGAAUCCCCUAAACCCGCCCCCAGUUCGGAUCGCGGGCUGCAACUCGCCCGCGUGAAGCUGGAAUCCCUAGUACCCGCGUGUCAUCAUCGCGCGGCGAAUACGUCCCUGCUCCUUGUACACACCGCCCGU